rnacentral:lncRNA from 1 species
GGCCAGGGUAAUCCAUGAGAUGGAUUUGAUAUUUUGAAAUACAAUGUGGACAACCUGAUCAGAGUUGACAGUUAAACUCUGGGGUGUCCUAUGAUCAUUUUGGUCAAGGGGAUGAAUUAUAUGAAAACUAUAUCCGCAUGGGUUCUAAGGAUAUUGUUCUAUACAUUCGACCUAUCCGAUUGUCAGGUACCAUUGCUAGAUGGUCACUUUGAUUGGUACAAAAAUUUAUUCCUGUACUAUCGGCUUAGGUUCGGACCUAUGAGGUCACACACAUUAGAGUUCAUGAUCCAAUCGGAUGGUUGAUCAAUGAUUAAGAAUCAUUCUAGGGUUAAAUGAUCAAUACGAUUGACAUUUAACCCAGUGUAAGUGUUGCAGGAGGAUCGAUUAGCAAUUCGAUUGCUAAUUGGCUUAAUUUGAUUAAGUCAAUGGACUGAGAUUAAGUAUAAUUAAAUAUAAUUUAAAUAGAUUUAGUUUGGGCUUGAUUGGAUCAAGUCCAAUUGGUUUAUUGGAUAAGCCAAGUGCAAGAAAAAACUAGUCCUAGUUCAACUAGGACUUGGGUCAAUCUAAUUUCUAAUUUAAUUAGAAAAUUAAAUCAGAUUUAAAUCUAAUUUAAUCUAAUUAAAUUAGGUUCUUAAUUGGGUUAAGAUCUAUUUUAAUUGGGUUGAUCUAAUUUUGGUUUGAUUUGGUUUGAGAAACCAAAUUAAAACAAGUCAUAAGAUAGAAUCCUAGUA